GACGAGCGCUGGCGGCGUGCUUAACACAUGCAAGUCGAACGGAAAGGCCCUGCUUUUGUGGGGUGCUCGAGUGGCGAACGGGUGAGUAACAAGUGAGUAACCUGCCCUUGACUUUGGGAUAACUUCAGGAAACUGGGGCUAAUACCGGAUAGGAGCUCCUGCUGCAUGGUGGGGGUUGGAAAGUUUCGGCGGUUGGGGAUGGACUCGCGGCUUAUCAGCUUGUUGGUGGGGUAGUGGCUUACCAAGGCUUUGACGGGUAGCCGGCCUGAGAGGGUGACCGGCCACAUUGGGACUGAGAUACGGCCCAGACUCCUACGGGCGGCAGCAGUGGGGAAUAUUGCACAAUGGGCGGAAGCCUGAUGCAGCAACGCCGCGUGCGGGAUGACGGCCUUCGGGUUGUAAACCGCUUUCGCCUGUGACGAAGCGUGAGUGACGGUAAUGGGUAAAGAAGCACCGGCUAACUACGUG
rnacentral:rRNA from 1 species